GCCUGGCUGGCUCAGUUGGUAGAGUGUGAGACUCUUAAUCUCAGGGUUGUGAGUUCGAGCCCCAUGUUGAGUG